rnacentral:rRNA from 1 species
AUUGAACGCUGGCGGCAGGCCUAACACAUGCAAGUCGAACGAGUGGCGGACGGGUGAGUAAUGUCUGGGAAACUGCCUGAUGGAGGGGGAUAACUACUGGAAACGGUAGCUAAUACCGCAUACUAUCGGUUGUGCCCAGAUGGGAUUAGCUAGUAGGUGGGGUAAAGGCUCACCUAGGCGAAGAUCCCUAGCUGGUCGGAGAGGAUGACCGGCCACACUGGAACUGAGACACGGCCCAGACUCCUACGGGAGGCAGCAGUGGGGAAUAUUGGACAAUGGGCGAAAGCCUGAUCCAGCCAUGCCGCGUGUGUGAAGAAGGUUUUCGGAUGGUAAAGCACUUUAAGUUGGGAGGCGUUACCAAAAGAGUAAGCACCGGCUAACUUCGUGCCAGCAGCCGCGGUAAUAC